CUGCAUGAAGCUGGAAUCGCUAGUAAUCGCGGAUCAGAACGCCGCGGUGAAUGCGUUCCCGGGUCUUGUACACACCGCCCGUCACACCAUGGGAGCCGGAAACGCCCGAAGCCAGCGGCCUAACCGCAAGGAGGGAGCUGUCGAAGGCGGGGCCGGUGACCGGGGUGAAGUCGUAACAAGGUAGC
rnacentral:rRNA from 1 species